GAAUUUUGGACAAUGGGCGCAAGCCUGAUCCAGCCAUGCCGCGUGAGUGAAGAAGGCCUUCGGGUUGUAAAGCUCUUUCGCCAGGAAAGAAAACUUACCUACUAAUACGAGGUGAGGUUGCCGGUCCCUUGAUAAGCAGCACCGGCUAACUACGUGCCCGCAGCCGCGGUAAUACGUAGGGUGCGAGCGUUAAUCGGAAUUACUGGGCGUAAAGCGUGCGCAGGCGGUUUUGUAAGUCAGAUGUGAAAUCCCCGGGCUCAACCUGGGAACUGCGUUUGAAACUACAAGGCUAGAGUGUAGAAGAGGGGGGUAGAAUUCCACGUGUAGCAGUGAAAUGCGUAGAGAUGUGGAGGAAUACCGAUGGCGAAGGCAGCCCCCUGGGCUAACACUGACGCUCAUGCACGAAAGCGUGGGGAGCAAACAGG
rnacentral:rRNA from 1 species